AUGACUCUUCUCUUCCUCAGAGCUCGCUCGCCUUCUGACAGCCCCGACAGCGUCCUGAAGAUCAAGUUUUGUCCUCCCCUGUCUUUCUUCCCCAACUCCUCGUCUUCCCAGGCUGAUCGUUCCUCCUUCAAUAAAGGCAGCCGUGGAGAGUACCAGGACCAGCGCAGGCAGCUCCUGUCCAGCUCUACUCCCCCACCACAUUACACCCUCUUUGAGAGCCACCUGGGAGGUAAGGCCCCCUCACCCUCUGCUCUGGAGUCCAUCUUAAGAGGCCCAGAUGGACGUUUUAUUGUCCAACCCCUGCCAGAGGCGCCUACUCUUUCUAACAUGAAGACAGUCUUCCUACAAACCCAAACCAAUAGAGGAGGCAGCGGCACAGGGAGCAACCGGACAUCUUUCAGAGACUCUCCGAAGUCCAGCAGUCUGAGCUCUGAGAGGGGAGAGGGAAAGGACUCCCCCCUGACAGUGGAGGUUACAGAACUCAGCAAGCCCCCUGCCUCCCCAGGCAGAGUGAGGGCAAUGGCCAGGAACUUCUCCCGUCACGGCUGCUUCUACUCUGAUGACGAGCAGGGCUUCUCAGAGGCUCUGCUGGAGAGAGCCAGUUUCCACUCCGAUAGGAGUGAGAAGAGAGUCUGUGACUCCCUGAAAAGAUACCGAUCUGGGCACCCAGAGGACAUCUUCCCCAGCCUGGGCAGGACAGCCAGACUGCUGGAGAUGGACAGGCAUCACCUUGCAGAUUACCAACCCAUGGAGAGAGAGAGCCAGCUGACUAACGCCAGCACACUGGUCUCACAGAUUGACACAAGUGAACAAAAGAAGGAUAACCUCAGAAAGUGUCGGCAGCUGGCCAAAGAGAGGGAGAUGAUGGAAAGGGAGCUGGAUAACUAUACUGCCAGCCAGAGGGAAAGGGAGUGGGAGAAAGAGGAGAACCAGCUUGAAAAGGCAACAAGCACUAACAGAGAACUGGGCAGUUCAGGGGCUGAGGAUCCUAUAUGGAAGCCACAGGACAUUACCUUACGUCCCAAAGCCCACCGGGCGUCCGGGCAGACCCAUCAGCUGUCGGACUAUAGGAGGGCCUGCUACUUUGGGAACACCAGCAGCCCAAUGGACCGGCUCCCUUCCUCCUACAUCCAAUGGGACAUCAGCCCAGUCACCUCCAUCAGCAGCCUUGUUCCAGUGCAGAGCCCCUUAGAGAGCACCACGCCAAGAUCCCAACAUCCUCACCAACGUCAUGCUGGGCUGUCCAUGGAGGACUCACUACAUGUGGACUGCUCACGCUGCCCAGUCACUCAAUGCACCUCUCCAUCUCAGCUCUCCCCUACCUCAGAAAGACCACCUAUCAGUCAAGGAACAGACAGAAACGUAGGCAGAGCCAGGUCAAGGAGUCCUGACAGAACUGUAGAAAGAGAGCAGGACAUGUAUCGUAGAAGGUCUAUGGUUGAGGAGGGCUGGAGGGAGACAAAACAGUCAGGGGGAGGUGACUUAAAACCAAGAUCGUCCUUUGCUUAUGGUACACAGCAUCUGGAGCCAACAGCUGAAAGAUCUGUUUCAGCAGAGCGAGUGAGGGCCACAGGUUCUGGCCAGCCAUACCCAGGCACUGCACCAUAUAGUCUGUCUGAGAGAACAGAGACAAUGGAUGAUAGGGAGAGAUUAAAUCAAAUUCCCUCUUGUUGCUCUACCUUGCCAUAUGGUUACUCUACCUUGCUCCACAAAGCAGGGGCCAAAGGGAAAGUGAGAGGUGAUCAAAUUAGGGAUGACCCUCAGAGUUCACUGUCAAACCCUGAGCAGGAGAAAGAGGGUGUCAGGGCACGCUCCAGAAGGAGUGAUAGGGCUCUUUUUAGUGACAGCCCCAGUCAAAUUUCCCCCUUAACUCUUCUGGAAGCGUGUGAGAGCGAUCAGUCCCAGUUCUCUGCUGCUAGAAUAACAGAGUCUUUCAAGAAUAAGCCGGCAACCCAGGCACCCAAAAUGUCCCCACUGCAAACAAGUGCAAUUCUGGAGUAUUUGAGCCUCCCGGGUUUCAUUGAGAUGAGUGUGGACAACCCUGGGGAUGAAUCUGAACUCACAGACACUGCUUGCAAAAGCGUAGAGCCACAGACAGACACUUCUCUGGAAGGUAAGCCAGACGUGGUUCCAAAAAACUGGGAUGUUCAUGUGCAGGAGAAGCUAGAGAAAAGUUCAAGCCAAAACACGGUUUCUUUUUUAGAAAACAGACACUUUGUUGGUCCAGCAGGAACUUCAAAGGCAACUGAGAAGCCAGACUAUAGAUUCUCUCUGCAAGUGCAAGCAAGAGAUUCAAGCCACAGUGCUGCGAUUCCAGACAGGUCCAAAAAACUAGCACCCGGGUCAGAAUACACGGGGAAUUAUCGUUAUUAUGAGCAGUCACAACCACUUAUUAGUCAAAAGACAACAGGCUCAGAGAGACCACCAACGAGAAUUGGUUUAAGUCCAGCCCAGACGUUGGCUAGUGCAGCUAAAAGCAUGGCAGAAGUUGUGUUUAAACACACUAAUACUUUUGCAGGGAAACCAGAGUCAGCUUCAGAACAAUUCCAAAGACUUAAUUCUCAGGGCAACAGGACUAAUAAAAUAGCCUCUAGGAUCUAUCAACACCCUGCACCGUUCAUCAAGAAAUCUCUGAGCAUUGGGCCCUGCAGAACUGUUUCAGGCAUGGGACAGCCUCGUCCAUUCAUAAAAAAGUCCAUCAGCUUAGGGUCACAGAAAUUGGAGCAUUUUGAAAGACCAAGGACUUAUGUCUCAGAGAAAUGUUACUGGGAUGAGUUCCCAAACCCAGACGUCCGGGUCAAAUCGUAUAGUUUAGGACGCACCCCUGCAUCCUCCUUUUCCAGACCAGACCCCUCGUGGUGGGAAGGGGUCCAGUUUAGACAGCCGAGUGUAGGAAGCUUGGAGAAGCCUCUGAAUGCUGACAGAUCCUUGGAGAGGCUUCAGUAUGACAGAUCCCUAGCCAGCUCUUCCUAUACCUACCUCAGCCCCUCCAUGUACCCACCAAGACAACCCCCAGUCUCUGUUAGACUAGACUUAUCAGAUCCGUGUAGACAGGCCAGUGCUUAUCCUGAUGCCGCCACGUCGCCUAUCACAUAUCAGGAUGCUCUGAGGUCUGUAGAGCAAAGAUAUGUCUCUAUGAACUCCUCAAUACCCCAGUACCUACCUAGACUAGACCAGUACCUACCCAGACUAGACCAGUACCCACCCAGACCAGACCAGUACACACCCAGACCAGGCAUGAGGGGAGACUACCCCAGACCGAUGGAGUCCAAGAGGGGCCAACUGAGGCCAAACCUGCCCCGGAUGUAUAGCUGGCCUUCACCCUACCAUGGUGGCCCUUUCCCAGCCAGGGAUGUAGACAGUCAUAGAGAGGCAGAGAGAGGGACAGGGAAGGGGGCAGGAGCUGAGGCAGAGAUGAGCGACAACAGGGAAGGAUGGAGGGCCAGUUAUGCCAGUCAGAGCAGUGGGAGAGGUAGCGUUGGCCUCCUCCGUCAGUCCCUCUCUAUCACUCCCAUCCUUCUCAGCUCCCCAGAGACAACAGAGGAAAGUGAGACACAGAGACACAGAGCUGAGAUGGAUCUACGUGAGUGGAGAAAAAAAAGGUGA
rnacentral:lncRNA from 1 species